UCUGAAGUGCUUUGCGAGCACCCGUUUGUGGCAUUUUAACAGGACGGAUCUUCAGUAUUUUCAGUAUGGAAUUACGCCUUGACCUUCAUCAAUCGCCUGUCAAUCAAAAUGUGACAUCCUUGGUUACGGCGCUGACAAGUGACGUCCAUUGCUUUAGAAGUUGGCGAUUCAUCUGUCAUCUCUCUUUAACAUUGACCUCCAUAUUCUAUUUGUCUACUUGUCUGCCUCUCGUCUCAUUGCCUGUUGUCCAUCUGUCUGUCUGUCUUCCUGUACUGUAUAUUUAUUGUCUGUCUGCCUUGUCCUUUUGUCCGUCUGUGUGCCCGCCAUUUCUGGCCCGCCCCAACGGUUCUUUUAAGAACCAAAGUUCUGCUGUCAAUAUGGCUUCAAAGAAAGCUGCUGAGGAUGCUCAUCUUAGGGAGCUUCUGAAACAAGGUCAAGCUUAUGCCAAGGACCUUAAUCCUGAACCGGCUAAGAACAAAAAGAGGACCACAAAAAACAGGUUCAGGAUUAGUUGGAGAAAGAGAGAUGUGCGGGGAGCAUUAGU